GGCUAGGUAGCUCAAUAGGUAGAGCACCUGGUAUAUAUCCAGAUGGCCUGGGUUCAACUCCCAGUCUGGUCC